rnacentral:pre_miRNA from 1 species
AGUGGUUCUGAAUACUUCAACAGUUCUAAAGCGAAAUUGUGAAAUGUUCAGGACCACUUG